GCAAACUUGGUCAUUUAGAGGAAGUAAAAGUCGUAACAAGGUUUCCGUAGGUGAACCUGCGGAAGGAUCAUUAACGAAUUGCGUUCGGGGUUGUUGCUGGUUUUCUUUGAAACGGGAAAGCACGUGCACGCCUCGCAAUCCAUUUCAAACCACACUUGUGCACUUCAGAGGGAGGCCUCUCCCGGUCUCUCCUCUUUCAUCACUAUAAACCACCUUUAAAGUCCUUUGUAUUUUUUGGUUAAUUAUAAUUGAAAUACAACUUUCAACAACGGAUCUCUUGGCUCUCGCAUCGAUGAAGAACGCAGC
rnacentral:misc_RNA from 1 species